CUUCCUCCAGGCCAGCAUUUUGGGAGACAGCUGGUUGAUCAGUUCUGGAGUUUCCACUUGGUCCUUUUUCAGGUCCUCGAGCCGUAGGCUUGGAGUUGGGCAAACGACUGUCUCCGGCGUCGUUGCCAUGAUCGCUGAACAAAAGUGUUUGUUGUGAUAGUGGAGUAUUGCAGCGUA